rnacentral:rRNA from 1 species
AGUGAACGCUGGCGGUAGGCCUAACACAUGCAAGUCGAACGGCAGCACAGUAAGAGCUUGCUCUUACGGGUGGCGAGUGGCGGACGGGAGAGGAAUACAUCGGAAUCUACUUUUUCGUGGGGGAUAACGUAGGGAAACUUACGCUAAUACCGCAUACGACCUACGGGUGAAAGCAGGGGAUCUUCGGACCUUGCGCGAUUGAAUGAGCCGAUGUCGGAUUAGCUAGUUGGCGGGGUAAAGGCCCACCAAGGCGACGAUCCGUAGCUGGUCUGAGAGGAUGAUCACCCACACUGGAGCUGAGACACGGUCCAGACUCCUACGGGAGGCAGCAGUGUGGAAUAUUGGACAAUGGUCGCGAGCCUGAUCCAGCCAUCCCGCGUGUGUGAAGAAGGCCUUCGGGUUGUAAAGCCCUUUUGUUGGUAAAGAAAAGCAGCAGGUUAAUACCCCGCUGUUCUGACGGUACCCAAAGAAUAAGCACCGGCUAACUUCGUG